AUGGUGGAGACGUCGGGCGGGAGGUGGAGGCUGCACCUCCACGGCCAGCGGCGGAGCGCGGCCGCCUUCCUGGCCGCCAACAAGACCCUGCUCGCCGCCGUGUGGGUCGCCGGGUUCGCGCUCGUCUUCCUGUGGCAGAGCGCCUCCGUGUUCGUCGCCGGGGGCGGGGGCGGGCCCCGCCCGGCGCCCGCGCCGUCGCGCCCGGCGCCGCGGCUGCGCCCGAUGGCGUACAACCUGACCGACUUCGGGGGCGUCGGGGACGGGCGGGCGGUGAACACCCGGGCCUUCGAGCGCGCCGUCGAGACCAUCUCGGCGUUCGCGGACAGCGGCGGGGCGCAGCUCAAUGUGCCGCCCGGCCGCUGGCUCACGGGCCCCUUCAACCUCACCAGCCACAUGACGCUGUUCCUCGCCGAGGGCGCCGAGAUCCUCGGCAUUACGGACGAGAAAGUUUGGCCGUUGAUGCCAGCACUGCCAUCUUAUGGGUAUGGGAGGGAGCGCAAAGGACCUCGUUUCGGGAGUCUAAUUCAUGGACAGAAUUUGAAAGAUGUUGUCAUUACAGGAUACAAUGGUAGCAUAAAUGGCCAGGGUGAAGUUUGGUGGUUGAAGCAUCGCAGAAGAAUGCUGAAGAACACAAGGCCUCCACUUGUACAACUGAUGUGGUCUAUGGACAUUGUUAUUACAAAUAUAACGUUGCGGAAUUCACCUUUCUGGCACUUCCACCCAUAUGACUGCACGAAUGUUACUGUUUCAGAUGUUACAAUCUUAGCUCCUAUUUCUGGUGCUCCAAACACAGAUGGCAUAGAUCCAGAUUCUUGUGAGGAUGUCCUAAUUGAGAAUUGCUACAUAUCUGUUGGUGAUGAUGCAAUUGCUAUAAAGAGCGGGUGGGAUCAAUAUGGGAUUGCAUAUGGGCGGCCGUCUUCUAACAUCUUAAUACGCAAUGUGACAGUCCGAUCUUUGGUUAGUGCUGGAAUUUCAAUUGGCAGUGAGAUGUCUGGUGGAGUUGCAAAUGUUACGGUGGAGAAUGUACGCAUCUGGGAUUCAAGGCGAGGCGUGAGAAUAAAGACUGCGAUAGGAAGAGGAGGCUACAUCCGCAAUAUCUCCUACAGCAACAUAACAUUCGACAAUGUUCGUGCUGCAAUUGUGAUAAAGGUUGACUACAAUGAGCAUGCUGAUGAUGGGUAUGACAGAAAUGCCUUCCCAGAUAUUACAGGCAUAUCAUUCAGAAAAAUACAUGGGUGGGGUGUUCGUGUGCCUGUCCGUGCUCAUGGCAGCAAUUAUAUCCCCAUCAAGGAUAUCACCUUUCAAGACAUGUCAGUAGGCAUCAGCUACAAGAAGAAGCAUAUAUUCCAAUGCUCCUACAUAGAAGGGCGUGUUAUCGGGUCAGUGUUUCCAAAACCAUGUGAGAAUUUGGACGUGUACGAUGAGCAAGGGCAGCUUGUCAAGCGUGGGGCAGUGCUCAACAGCACAGAAGUUGAUUAUGAUAUAUGA
rnacentral:rRNA from 1 species